GCCUGGUUGGUGUAGUGGUUAAAGCACACUCAGAGCCUAGAACUCUGAGAGACCUUGGUUCGAUUCCAAGACUGGGCU